ensembl:lncRNA
GGCAAAGGUCCUCCUUUUGCUAUUGAUUUACAUAGGAGAUUUGUAUCUAGGUCUUAAGGACUUGUCUGAAAACACCAAGUUAUAGAACACUUCUGUGCUGUUCUGCUACUUUAUUCAUUUUUCACCCCUUAGUUCUCCAACCCAGUAGUUAUCUACAGAAAAAGUCACAGAUCAAAGGGUUGUUGUGCUUCGAGAAAGUAGAAACUCUUUGAUUACUUGAGAGUUGAUGGGUUGUUUUUGUUUGUUUGUUUGUUUGUUUGGCAGCAUUGGCUAUCUUUCCCCUCCCAUAUUCCCCUGUACACAUAUUCAGUUUAUUCCAAGCAGAUGUUAACUGGUGCAUCUGUCACUUUCCUUCUCAAAUGACUUGCGGGACCACAUCUUCUCAGUAUGUACUAGCCAUCUAUGAAAGCUCUUUUCCUGUCCACUUCUUCUUGCUCUAUGUUUUCAUCCUUGUCCACUUAUUUCUCAUGCACGCCUCUGUCUCAUCCUUUUGUUUCCUUGCUUAAUCUCCCUUUCUUCUACAUCUGUUCUAAGUUGCCAUCCUUCUUUCAUUCCCUACGUAUUUUCAUUUUACAAAAGUGUUGGGCAAGUACAAGGCUUAACAUCUGUUAUUUGUACAUAAGGAUGGGAGAUUAAAUUAUUUGUCUAAGGCCACAUAGAGUAUCUGUGGCAGAAAGGUGAAUAAAUUUUAGGCCUCUGUGACUCAACAAAUCCAUCGGGAAGUCUAAUUUGAAAGGUGUGUUUUAAACAUCGAUUCAAAGUUUGAGUCCAAAUGAAAGCAGUUCCAAUUACAGGGCUGCUUUUAUCUGCUAGUUUCAUCUUAGCACUGUUAGGCACAUGGGCUGUGUCUAGACUUCCCAGGUGGGGCAUGCCGCAGUGCCUGCCUGACUCAUAUGCCUGGCUUUUCUUUCCUUGAGUCUUGCUCACAACACACGCAGGCCCAUGAGAUGAGGGGUAAUACAGAUACAAACAUACAGGGGUGUGUGCCAAAGCUCAUGAUGCUGAAGCACUGCCUCUGAAAAGAACGGAGUUCUUGAGGUAUUCAUCUGUGUUGAUCUAAUCAUCAAAAUAAGAUUUGUUUUUUCCAUAGGAAGAAAUGCUUUUUUGAAACAUAAUAGCACAUUUCUUUUAAGUCAAACCACCAGCCUACCCGAGGUUUCAUUGGUAUGGCUUUUGGGUACAGCUAGGUGUUUGUUUAUAUCAAAUUUCUUAACAGAGUGAUAAACAGAGUUGUUUACAUGUGCCCCUCAAACCAAAGUCUAAUGUUGCUUUCAGCUAUACUCCAAGCCAUAAUGUCAUUAUCCUUGGCACAGACUACUAGAAAAUUUUGUCAGCCUGUCCACAAAAAUUAGCUCUGCAAUACCAUUGAAUUCUAGGUGCUAAUCCAGUGCUUUGGCCUGACACAGGGUAUCUCUGUUCUCAAAGCCACCAGCGAAAACUCUUUUAGAAAAACAACAACACAAGUUUAUGAUUCACUUUCAGACUUUGUUCACCUAAAUGACUUGUUUGUGCACUAUGGAAGGGAAAACAAGAGACUCCAGAAACUUGCACACACAGCACAUCCUUGUUUAUGCCUUUUAACUAUAUAAUAAAUGCACACAUAAAUAUGUAAGGGAAGGGUCAGGCAAACUUUCAGUGAGGCUUUUCAAGUCAACCAUCUUCUACAGUGAAGAAGAACAGCAUACUAAAAAUGACAUUUUCAUAUUUGAAUUUAAUAUUAAGUUGUGUAACAGAGGGGAAGUGUUGUGGGUUUUUGUUUUUUUCUUUUCAGCUUUGUUUUUAUUUUUAAAGCAUGAAGCCUGAUCUGACCGAAACCAUGACUAUGGCUUUGAGUUGGUUUAAGGAAAGAAAUAAGAAGAGCCAGGAAAUUAAGACACUGUUUUUCCUCUGUGAUUUCUAAUUUAAGGAGACAGUAAGCUUACUAGAGUUUCAAAAGAUGUUUUAAUAUCAUUUUAUCUUCAAUUUCCUACCUACUGUGUAAAAAAACAUCUUCUGGUUCACAGUAAGGUGUCCUGUUAAUCCGUAUAUCAUUCUUUAAUUCAGAUUAGUUUUUUGUUGUAUUCCUCCUCCCUCUGUCAUUUCUUUAGGUCUAUGUUAUAUAACAUUUUAAUGAGCAAUAGCCACUCACUCAAAGAGACUGGGUACCAGAAAAGGUGAGUGAAGAUGUACAAAAGACUGAAAUACAGAUUUGAAAAUCAGAGAAGUUGAACUGUUCCAAAUGGCAAAUCUCUUAGGGUACUUCCUGUGAAGUCAAAGGAAUUCUGACAGGAAAAAAAAAAAAACAACAAACAAACAAAACAAAACAAAAAAAACAACUGGUAGCUCUUGGCAUACUUUCAAGUACAGAUGGGUAAGCUUCAUGAGGUUCUUGUUAUUUAUAUUAUGGUAAUAUCCAGAAAUUCCAACUCACAAAUAGAAUUGUUUCCCAUCCUAAAAGAAGAUAACCUGAGAUGAAGGAAAGCCACAGCGUGCUGACAGGGAUGCAUUAAGAGUUCUUUGAGGACUUCUACAGAAAUAAAAUAAAAAUGUAGAAGUGGAAGAAUAAGAUAUAGCUGAGAAUCAGACUGAAGGAACAGUAGAAGUAUAAAUAUACAGUCUUUACAGAAUUCUUAAUUUUCAGGGCUCAGCAAGCAUCAGGAAGCAUAAGAGGGAAGGAAAAAUAUUCAAUUAGUCUCCAGUAGACAUAGGAACACAUAACUCCAUUAAUGGAGCAAAAAAGUAGGUGAUACAGUGAAUGUUUCCAUUUUAUUCCUUAUCACACACACACACACAAAAAAAAAAAAAAGACUAAUCAAGUAUUAAAAAAAAAAUAAUAAUUUUAAUGAAAGGGUAGGAAUAGGGGACAGAAUAGAAAGAACAGCAGGAGGUGCUCCAAAGGACUGAAGAAAGGCAAGCAGAAAAUGAGCUACUGAGGAGAAGUGCAAGAAAUGUAGAUGAAAACAUUUCAGUCAGAUUGCUUUGAUAUCUCUGAAAUAUCAGAAUGUAUUACUGGACAACUUACUCGUAGAGGCUGAGAAACAAUCAAGUGACAAACCAAUAUCAAUUUGCUAUUACAGAUUGCAACAUAUUAGUCUAAUUUCCUUCUUCACCCGGACAGCUGGCCUAUUGGAUAAAGAAUUAAUUCAGAAUUAAUUACAGGAGACUUUAUAUGAGAUUUAUUUUGCCUUCAAAUUCAAUCUAUCCUACAUGGUAUCCUCAGAAGAAAAUUGGGAAAUGUGGCUGUGAUUAAACCUGUCACCAUGCUGGUGCAACUGCUUGAGAAAAAAAACAAAAAAAACAAAACAAAAA